GAUGAACGCUGGCGGCGUGCCUAAUACAUGCAAGUCGAGCGAAUGGAUUGAGAGCUUGCUCUUAUGAAGUUAGCGGCGGACGGGUGAGUAACACGUGGGUAACCUGCCCAUAAGACUGGGAUAACUCCGGGAAACCGGGGCUAAUACCGGAUAACAUUUUGAACCGCAUGGUUCGAAAUUGAAAGUCGGCUUCGGCUGUCACUUAUGGAUGGACCCGCGUCGCGUUAGCUAGUUGGUGAGGUAAGGGCUCACCAAGGCAACGAUGAGUAGCCGACCUGAGAGUGUGAUCGGCCACACUGGGACUGAGACACGGCCCAGACUCCUACGGGAGGCAGCAGUAGGGAAUCUUCCGCAAUGGACGAAAGUCUGACGGAGCAACGCCGCGUGAGUGAUGAAGGCUUUCGGGUCGUAAAACUCUGUUGUUAGGGAAGAACAAGUGCUAGUUGAAUAAGCUGGCACCUUGACGGUACCUAACCAGAAAGCCACGGCUGACUACGUGCCAGCCGCCGCGGUAA
rnacentral:rRNA from 1 species